UAAGCGGAGGAAAAGAAACUAACAAGGAUUCCCCUAGUAACGGCGAGUGAAGUGGGAAAAGCUCAACUUUGUAAUCUGGCUGUCUUUUGGCAGUCCGAGUUGUAGUCUAGAGAAGUNAUGUCCGCGCAGACCCUUAUAGAUUUCGGUUGGAAUGCCAAGUCAAAGAGGGUGAGAAUCCCGUAUUUGAUAAGGUGGUCUUGUGCAUUGUGAUACGCUUUCAAAGAGUCGAGUUGUUUGGGAAUGCAGCUCAAAGUGGGUGGUAAAUUCCAUCUAAAGCUAAAUAUUGGCGAGAGACCGAUAGCGAACAAGUACCGUGAGGGAAAGAUGAAAAGCACUUUGGAAAGAGAAUGAAAUAGUACAUGAAAUUGCUGAAAGGGAAACGAUUGAAGUUAGACAUGCGCUUUGGGUAUUCAACCUUGGCUUCGGUCUUGGUGCAUUUGCCUAAUUUUGCAGGCCAACAUCAGUUAUCUUUGCUGUAAAAGGGUUUUGGGAAUGUGGCUCUUUCGGGAGUGUUAUAGCCCUUUGCUGGAUGCAGAAUCGAUGACUGAGGAACGCAGUGCGCCUUUAUUGGCAAGGCUUUCGGGCUUCGAGCACUUAGGAUGUUGGUAGAAUAGCUUUAAACGACCCGUCUUGAAACACG
rnacentral:rRNA from 1 species